rnacentral:rRNA from 1 species
GACGAACGCUGGCGGCGUGCUUAACACAUGCAAGUCGAGCGGUAAGGCCCUUUCGGGGGUACGACGAGCGGCGAACGGGUGAGUAACACGUGGGUGACCUGCCCUCAGCUCUGGGAUAAGCCUGGGAAACCGGGUCUAAUACCGGAUAUGACUCCAUGACGCAUGUUGUGGGGUGGAAAGCCUUGUGCGGCUGAGGAUGGGCCCGCGGCCUAUCAGCUUGUUGGUGGGGUGAUAGCCUACCAAGGCGACGACGGGUAGCCGGCCUGAGAGGGCGACCGGCCACACUGGGACUGAGACACGGCCCAGACUCCUACGGGAGGCAGCAGUGGGGAAUCUUGCGCAAUGGGCGAAAGCCUGACGCAGCGACGCCGCGUGAGGGAUGACGGCCUGGUG